UACGUAGGGUGCAAGCGUUAAUCGGAAUUACUGGGCGUAAAGCGUGCGCAGGCGGUUGUGCAAGACCGAUGUGAAAUCCCCGGGCUUAACCUGGGAAUGGCAUUGGUGACUGUACGGCUAGAGUGUGUCAGAGGGGGGUAGAAUUCCACGUGUAGCAGUGAAAUGCGUAGAGAUGUGGAGGAAUACCGAUGGCGAAGGCAGCCCCCUGGGAUGACACUGACGCUCAUGCACGAAAGCGUGGGGAGCAAACAGG
rnacentral:rRNA from 1 species